UCAGAUUGAACGCUGGCGGCAGGCCUAACACAUGCAAGUCGAACGGUAACAGGAAGAAGCUUGCUUCUUUGCUGACGAGUGGCGGACGGGUGAGUAAUGUCUGGGAAACUGCCUGAUGGAGGGGGAUAACUACUGGAAACGGUAGCUAAUACCGCAUAACGUCGCAAGACCAAAGAGGGGGACCUUCGGGCCUCUUGCCAUCGGAUGUGCCCAGAUGGGAUUAGCUUGUUGGUGGGGUAACGGCUCACCAGGCGACGAUCCCUAGCUGGUCUGAGAGGAUGACCAGCCACACUGGAACUGAGACACGGUCCAGACUCCUACGGGAGGCAGCAGUGGGGAAUAUUGCACAAUGGGCGCAAGCCUGAUGCAGCCAUGCCGCGUGUAUGAAGAAGGCCUUCGGGUUGUAAAGUACUUUCAGCGGGGAGGAAGGGAGUAAAGUUAAUACCUUUGCUCAUUGACGUUACCCGCAGAAGAAGCACCGGCUAACUCCGUGCCAGCAGCCGCGGUAAUACGGAGGGUGCAAGCGUUAAUCGGAAUUACUGGGCGUAAAGCGCACGCAGGCGGUUUGUUAAGUCAGAUGUGAAAUCCCCGGGCUCAACCUGGGAACUGCAUCUGAUACUGGCAAGCUUGAGUCUCGUAGAGGGGGGUAGAAUUCCAGGUGUAGCGGUGAAAUGCGUAGAGAUCUGGAGGAAUACCGGUGGCGAAGGCGGCCCCC
rnacentral:rRNA from 1 species